rnacentral:rRNA from 1 species
UACGUAGGGUGCAAGCGUUGUCCGGAAUUAUUGGGCGUAAAGAGCUCGUAGGCGGUCUGUCGCGUCUGCUGUGAAAACUCGGGGCUUAACCCCGGGCCCGCAGUGGGUACGGGCAGACUAGAGUGCGGUAGGGGAGACUGGAAUUCCUGGUGUAGCGGUGAAAUGCGUAGAUAUCCGGAGGAACACCGGUGGCGAAGGCGGCUUCCUGGACCGAUUACUGACGCUGAGGCGCGAAAGCUAGGGGAGCAAACGGG